rnacentral:lncRNA from 1 species
CCUCAUCCAUCUAAUAUCCCAGAGACCGUAUAUCGAGCAUGGUGCUGUCAGACCCAUACGGUUUCUACUCGAGUCUUGCUCUAAUCGGAUUCUCCCGGAGAACUCUUUCUCUCUCAACCCGAAUGACCCUGGCCAGGGAUUUGUCUGAGCAAGAACACAUAGGAUAUUCCUCUCAUGACGCCGAGAGUGGAUGAUCCUCUAUUGACACUUAAUAGCCCUCGUAAGGUCGACUACCACUCCCAAUGACCAGCUUUACUAGAUCUGGGGACAGCCAAACCUAUAAGUCUGGUAUCAAAAAGUGGAGCACUCAUACAGGACAUCCUUGGUGUCUCAAGUCUAAGGACCAGAUACACCACUAGGACUACGGAAUCGCUGUCUGACAAUAAGGCAUCAUCAAUCAUCCAGCAUUCCGUAAGCGGAUCAAUCAGUGAACUCAUUCUCCAAUGAGCACCUGUACUGUAUCCCUAGUGUCCCUACACGAGCAGCUAUGAGACCAGCUGCAUCCAUCAUAUGGACGGGUAUACAGUACACCAGUCUAUCCGGUUAUCACGAUGUCCUCUCGAGUAACCUAUGACCGGGAUUAUUUAGGAUAUGUGUUAAAGAUGAAUCGAUCUCAUUAUCAUGAUCUCAUCACGAUCCGAUUCCCAUUGCACAAAUCCAAGGAUAUCACAAUAUAUGUAUGCAUUUAUGCAAUAGUUAUAAAGUGAUAUACGCCAAAAUAUAAUAAGCAAAAAGAUUCUGUAUCAAGUCACACGUGCCAUCACUCACGUGAUUGGCUUGCUGGGCACUUAUGACUAGCACAUGUGUUAUUAUAAGAGUGACAAAUGGAGACUGAUCAUGAAUGUACCUGAAGUUUCUCCAAGCUUCUCUUUCGCCCUCUCUACAAGGUACUCUUUGUAGUUCCUCUUCCAGUGCCCAUCUUUACCAGAGUGGAAGCAUUGGCCUUUGUCCGUUGUCGUAUCUUUUUUAGCAACCUUUGCUUUACCUGGUCUGCCCUUGUCCUUCUUAAGGGACUUUUCUCCUUUCCUUUUCUUUAUGGUCUCCUUAGUGUAGAGAACUGGCUUCUCCUUUUUGAUGGUGCUCUCUACCUCCCUCAACAUAUUGAGGAGCUUUGGGAGAGUCACCUCAAGCUUAUUCAUUUUAAAAUUCAUUAUGAACUAUGAAAAUGAAUCUGAUAGGGACUGAAGCACAAUGUCCACACUUAAGUUAUCCUCUAGAAUCAUUCCUAGACCUGUGAGUUUCUCUAUCAACUCAAUCAUUUUUAGGACAUUGUUCUGAACCGAUGUUCUCUUAGUCAUCCUUGCGUGAAAGAGACUCUUGGAUAUCUCAUAUCGCUGAGUCCUUCCUUAUUCCUCAAACAGUUUGCGGACAUGUAGCAGAAUAGAUCUGACAUCCAUCUUUUCAUGUUGUCUCUGUAACUCAGGAGUCAUAGAGCCCAACAUGUAACACUGAGCAAGAGUGGAAUCAUCAUUGUACUUCACGUAGCGAGUGAUCGCAUCCUCACUUGCCCCUUCCUCGAGCGUAGGCAUCACUGUAUCAAGGACAUACACGAUUUUCUCCCUCGUGAGAAUAAUUCUCAAGUUCCAGAGCCAAUCCGUAUAAUUUGGACCAGUGAGGCGGUUGACAUCAAGUAUGCCAAGUAAGGGAUUUGAAAGUGACCUUUUCUAAAAAUAAAGAUGUAGUAUAAAUAAAUAACAUGCAGAUUUUGCAAGAAAUAAACAAUCAAAAUAUUGACUUCUAUCUUAAUAUGCUCCCACUAUUUUACUAGCGAGUCAUGCGACACCCUUAGCACGUGAAAUGGAAGUCUCCGAUAGACUUCUAGUAGGGAUUAAGAUCCAAUCAGCGUCUCAGUGUAACCUCGAGGGACUUGAUCAAUCACACUAAGCCCAAAAGGUACUCUUGUCGAUCAUAGCUCUUUGUGAUUCCUGCCCUGUUUGGCCUCCAAAUCACUAUGAUCUCGAGGGACUCGACCAACCAUGAUGUUCGGUUAAGUCAACACCAUCGUUACAAGAUGAGUCUGAUUUGAUGAUAUACCCUCGAGGGACUCGACCAAGUAUACCAUGUUCUCAAGUCAUCGGUGACAUCUCUAUAUCGUAGGCAAGAUAGCGAAUCGCGAUAUAUAUGAGCCUCGUGGGACUCGACCGACUCAACCUACACCGGGAAUUAGUCCCUACCUAUAACGAUGGAAGGCCACGUGGGUCAAUCUAAUGGCCUUACGUUUACCAAUUUAAUAUUAUCGAUAGAGGGGUUUCUAUGAUUUGGUCUCCUAAUAUAACAUGUCACACAUAUACAUAUUUAAUAUAUAUAUAUAUAUAUGUAUAUAUAUAUAUAUAUAUAUAUAUAUAUAUAUAUAUAUAUAUAUCGCAUGCAAAUAUAUAUACAUAUCUAGUAGGUGUAUAAGCAAUCACACUAGAUAAUCAUGUACCACAGCCUAAUGUGAUCAGGCCCAAGCCAGUGAGCCUAAUCACUCACAUCAAGAUCAAUGUAUGCGGCGGUGCAUCUCCAUAUCCUAUGAUUGUCCAUCUCGUCCUCGUUAGCUCUGUCGAUAUCUCGAUGCAUCUCCAUGCAUCGCGAUCGUCCAUCUCAUGGGUCCCGUUAUCGAUUCCACGCUCCCACUGCGCCUCCUCGUGUGAUUACAUACAUCAUAAGCACGCAGGCGAGAAAUAAAAAUAGAGGCUCGCAAGCCCCAAUAAUAAUAAUCACAAGUACAUACAUCACACGUUCAUGAUCAUAUGUCUACUUUUGAUACAUCACAUAUAUAAAUCAUCAUCAUAUAGGACACUAGAUAAUAAAAAUAAUAAUAAUCAAUUAAAAUUUUUAAUUAAUUAAUAUUUUUUGAAAUCAGAGACAUAUAAGGAAUUUUCUAAUUGCUGUGGGGUAUUUUUCGUAAUUUGGACAAAGGACAGAACUGAAAUUUUUGAAAUUUCAAGGGGCAAAACUGUAUUUUGCCCUAAGAUGCCCUAAUGCCCUCUACCCUGCUGCUAUCGCCGCCGUCGCCACCCCGCCGGCGGCGACCUGUGCGGCGGGGGACGGGGGCGUUGCCCUCGCCACCCGCAGGCGAUGCUGCCCCUGCAGGUGGGCGCCCCCGCGGGCGCCGUCGCCUCGGCGGACGGUUCUGCUCGCGGGGCAGCGCCCGCAGGCGGUGUUGGCCCGCCAGGCGGCCGCCAAUGCGAGGGGUUUUGCCCACGGGAGCAGCGGUCACAAGCACCGCUGCAAUGCGGCGCCUCACCCCGCGGGAGAAGCGACCGCAGUCGCCUCUGCCCGCGGGCUGCCAGCCCCGCCGACGACAAGCCUGCUGCAAGCAGGCCGUCGGCCGGCUGUUGCAGGCACAGCACUUGCGCAUACGCCGGCGCUGUGCAGCCUGGCUGCGGCAGCCGCUGCAUGUGGCUACAGGCAUGCAGAUCGAGGGAAGUAACUGUUGUUGUCCGUCCUUAUUUUCGUCAACAAUUUUGACUUCAAAAGUUUCUCCAAAACACAAUACAUGCGGUUCAAAACCAAUCUAUCGUACGAAUAACCUGACUUUGAUACUAUUAUUGGGAAAUCUUGGGGGAGACAUCACAUGCAAAGUGGAAGAACAAAAACAUAAAAUCUCCAAUUUCCCAAAAAGAUAUUCGUCGUCGUGCAAAAAUUAGUGCGUAAAAAUCUACGAAACAAACUACGUAUAGAAUAGAUUCAAUCUAUCGUACGAAUAACCUGACUUUGAUACUAUUAUUGGGAAAUCUUGGGGGAGACAUCACAUGCAAAGUGGAAGAACAAAAACAUAAAAUCUCCAAUUUCCCAAAAAGAUAUUUGUCGUCGUGCAAAAAUUAGUGCGUAAAAAUCUACGAAACAAACUACGUAUAGAAUAGAUUAUGUUACAUAGGGAGAUCGUAUAGGAGAGGGUGAAGGAGGUCAAGCAUAGGCCUGCUCUAAGAUGGAGAGGGGAGGAGAAUAUGAGAGGCAAGCAAAGGCUCAAGCCUAUGAACCACUGAAUCACUCCUAUUUAUAGAGGUCCCCUGUCAAACCCUAAUGGAUCAUCCCCUAUUGGGUAUUAGAUCUGCAUCCAACUACCCAAGCCUCUUAAAUUAGUGGAUCUCUAUCCAAUAAUCUCUUAUGGGCUCUUAUUGAAUCUAAUCUAUAAGAUCCAAUAAUUCAGGGGCUUAUUGGAUAUCCAAUAAGUCAAGGGCUCCAACGGAUAUCUCAUAUCCGAAUCUCUACUCAUCGCAAUGCCUACCAUAUGUGCGUGACCCUCCGGGCCCAAUAUCGAGCUAGCCGUGAGUCAUACCUGUCAGAACUCUUUCUAGCUCAGUGAAUUAUUAUCUCUAUAAUAAAUCACUCGACUCAUCGACUACGGAUGUACUAGGCCACUACGUCGUAGUCCCCAUACGAUACACGGGAAUCUAAUCCAAUGGACCUAUCUAUCCUUAGUUACGGUGUACCUAUAGUCCAUGAUCCAUCUAAUAUCCUAGAGACCGUAUACCGGGUAUGGUGCUGUAAGACCUAUACAGUUUUUAGUCGAGUCUCGCUCUAAUCGGAUUCUCCCGGAGAACUCUUUCUCUCUCAAUCCGAAUAACCCUAGCCAGGGAUUUGUUUGAGCAAAAACACAUGGGAUAUUCCUCUCAUGACGUUGAGAGCGAAUGAUCCUCUAUCGACACUCAAUAACCCUAGUAAAGUCGACUACUACUCUCAAUGAUCGGUUGUACUAAAUUUGGAACAUCCAAACGUAUAAGUCCGGUAUCAAAGAAUGGAGCACUUAUACAGGACAUCCUUGGUGUCUCAAGUCUAAGGACCAGAUACACCACUGGGACUACGAAAUCACUGUCUGACAAUAAGGCAUCAUCAACCAUCCAACAUUCCCUAAGCAGAUCAAUCAGUGAACUCAUUCUCUAAUGAGCACCUGUACUAUAUCCCUAGUGUCCCC